UACGAAGGGGGCUAGCGUUGUUCGGAAUUACUGGGCGUAAAGCGUGCGCAGGCGGUUGUGCAAGACAGAUGUGAAAUCCCCGGGCUCAACCUGGGAACUGCAUUUGUGACUGCACGGCUGGAGUGCGGCAGAGGGGGGAUGGAAUUCCGCGUGUAGCAGUGAAAUGCGUAGAUAUGCGGAGGAACACCGAUGGCGAAGGCAAUCCCCUGGGCCUGCACUGACGCUCAUGCACGAAAGCGUGGGGAGCAAACAGG
rnacentral:rRNA from 1 species